rnacentral:rRNA from 1 species
CUUGGUCAUUUAGAGGAAGUAAAAGUCGUUACACGGGUAACACCUUUGACAAGACACUCUAAUGCGUGUCCGGUACUGAUGCUGCCCGGCAACGGAUCGGGAUGUGCUCGUCUGGAUGCCCUUCUCUAUUCUAUUCCACCAAUGGCUCCACUCCACUGUGAACCACGCGUGCGAGCCGAAGAGAGAUCGGAAGCUGCAAUCCAAUCCUUAAUAUACCCCAUCAUAUUCGUAUCAGAAUGUAUCAACAACGGAUCUCUUGAUACAACUUUUGCGAUCGGAUCUCUUGGCUCUCGCAUCGAUGAAGAACGCAGCGAAAUGCGAUAAGUAAUGUGAAUUGCGGAUUUCAGUGAAUCAUCGAAUCUUUGAACGCACCUUGCGCCCCUUGGUAUUCCGAGGGGCACGUCUGUUUGAGUGUCGUAAACUUCAUCCACCCUUGCUUUCUUAACCGAUCGCUCGGGCUGGGAUUUGGGGGUUGCCGGUCCCUGGCCGAUCGGCUCUCCUUAAAAGCAUUAGCGGGAUCCAAGUGUUGGCCCCCCGGCGUGAUAGUAAAAUAUCUGCGUCUCCUGGGCCUCGCGUUUUAAAGGGUCUGCUUCUAACCGCCCACCUCCGGGCAAAUCUACUUUACUACAUGACCUCAAAUCAGACGGGAUUACCCGCUGAACUUAAGCAUAUCAAUAAGCGGAGGA